ensembl:snRNA U6 U6 spliceosomal RNA
GUGUUCUCUUCGGCAGCACAUGUACUAAAAUUGGAACAAUGCAGAGAAGGUUAGUAUGGCCCUUGUGCAAGGAUAACACAAAAUAAAAAAGCAAUAAAGAAGUGA